GGGGGGGGGGGGGGGGGGGGGGGGGGGGGGGGGGGGGGGGGGGGGGGGCGGGGCGGGGGUGGUCGGGUGGCGGACGGGGGGGUGACAGGGGGGGGAGCUGCCCUGCACUCUGGGAUAAGCCUGGGGAACUGGGUCUGAUACCGGGUAGGACCGCACUUUCGGGGGGGGGGGGGAAAGUUUGUUCGGUGUAGGAUGAGCCCGCGGCCUAUCAGCGUGGUGGUGGGGUAAUGGCCUACCAAGGCGGCGACGGGUAGCCGGACUGAGAGGGUGGUCGGCCACAUUGGGACUGAGAGACGGACCAGACUCCUACGGGAGGCAGCAGGGGGGAAUAUUGCACAAUGGGCGCAAGCCUGAUGCAGCGACGCCGCGUGGGGGAUGACGGCCUUCGGGUUGUAAACUCCUUUCGCCAGGGACGAAGCGUUUUGUGACGGUACCUGGAGAAGAAGCACCGGCUAACUACGUG
rnacentral:rRNA from 1 species